CCUACGGGGUGCAGCAGGGGGGAAUAUUGGGCAAUGGGCGCAAGCCUGACCCAGCAAUGCCGCGGGAAGGAAGAAGGCUUUCGGGUUGUAAACGUCUGUGACAGGGGAAGAGCAGAAGACGGUACACGGAAAACAAGCCACGGCUAACUACGGGCCAGCAGCCGCGGUAAUACGUAGGUGGCAAGCGUUGUCCGGAUUUACUGGGUGUAAAGGGCGUGUAGCCGGGAAGGCAAGUCAGAUGUGAAAUCUGGAGGCUCAACCUCCAAAUUGCAUUUGAAACUGUUUUUCUUGAGUACUGGGAGGCAGACGGAAUUCCUUGUGUAGCGGUGAAAUGCGUAGAUAUAAGGAGGAACACCAGUGGCGAAGGCGGUCUGCUGGACAGCAACUGACGGUGAGGCGCGAAAGCGUGGGGAGCAAACAGGAUUAGAUACCCGGGUAGUC
rnacentral:rRNA from 1 species